CCUACGGGGUGCAGCAGUAGGGAAUAUUGCUCAAUGGGGGAAACCCUGAAGCAGCAACGCCGCGUGGAGGAUGAAGGUUUUCGGAUUGUAAACUCCUUUUGGUAGAGAAGAAAAUGACGGUAACUAACGAAUAAGCACCGGCUAACUACGUGCCAGCAGCCGCGGUAAUACGGAGGGUGCAAGAGUUAGACGGAAUCACUGGGCGUAAAGAGCGCGUAGGCGGGAUAGCAAGUCAGAUGUGAAAGCCUAUGGCUUAACCAUAGGACUGCAUUUGAAACUGUUAUUCUUGAGUAUGGGAGAGGUAGGUGGAAUUCUUGGUGUAGCGGUAAAAUCCGUAGAGAUCAGGAGGAAUACUAAUUGCGAAGGCGACCUACUGGAACAUAACUGACGCUGAUGCGCGAAAGCGUGGGGAGCAAACAGGAUUAGAUACCCCAGUAGUC
rnacentral:rRNA from 1 species